rnacentral:rRNA from 1 species
AUUGAACGCCGGCGGCAUGCUUUACACAUGCAAGUCGAGCGGCAGCGCGGGGGCAACCCUGGCGGCGAGCGGCGAACGGGUGAGGAAUACAUCGGAACGUGCCCCGGAGUGGGGGAUAACGCCGCGAAAGCGGCGCUAAUACCGCAUAUGCUCUGAGGAGGAAAGCGGGGGACCUGCAAGGGCCUCGCGCUCUGGGAGCGGCCGAUGUCCGAUUAGCGAGUUGGUGGGGUAAAGGCCUACCAAGGCGACGAUCGGUAGCUGGUCUGAGAGGAUGAUCAGCCACACUGGGACUGAGACACGGCCCAGACUCCGACGGGAGGCAGCAGUGGGGAAUUUUGGACAAUGGGGGCAACCCUGAUCCAGCCAUGCCGCGUGCGGGAAGAAGGCCUUCGGGUUGUAAACCGCUUUUAGCCGGGAAGAAAAGGCGUCCACUAACACUGGGCGUUCUUGACGGUACCGGCGGAAUAAGCACCGGCUAACUACGUGCCAGCAGCCGCUGUAC